AACAAACGCUGGCGGCGUGCCUAACACAUGCAAGUCGAACGAGAAAGUUCCGCAAGGGAUGAGUAAAGUGGCAGACGGGUGAGUAAGGGAUGAGCAACCUUCCUUUAAAUUUGGGAUAACAUCUCGAAAGGGAUGCUAAUACUGGAUAAGACCCCGCUUUUAGGUAAGUGAGGUAAAAGAUAGCUGCAAAGGCUGUUGUUUAGAGAUGGGCUCAUCGACCAUUAGCUAGUUGGCAGGGUGAUGGCCUACCAAGGCUGUGAUGGUUAGGCGGUCUGAGAGGAUGAUCGGCCACACUGGAAUUGAGAAACGGUCCAGACUCCUACGGGAGGCAGCAGUGAGGAAUAUUGCGCAAUGGGGGAAACCCUGACGCAGCAACGCCGCGUGAGUGACGAAGGCCUUCGGGUUGUAAAGCUCUGUCGGAUGGGACGAAGGUUACUGGGUGAAUAUCCUAGUAAUUUGACGGUACCAUUAGAGGAAGCCCCGGCUAACUCUGUGCCAGCCGCCGCGGUAA
rnacentral:rRNA from 1 species